CGUCUCGUAGAUAAGUUGUAUAGUGGAGGAAAAUUGGUGGCCAAGAGUUAGUCUCCCACCCAAGUGUCUUCCAAAACAACACUCUAGAUCCAUCUCCCACCAGGAACUAGAUAAGUCAAACAAAAAAGGAGUGAACUUGGGAGAUGAACUUCAAGGAACUCCAGUGAGUAGUGGAACUUGCAGCGAUGACAUCCCAUCCCUCCCAUGUGCUCCUAUAGAUGUUGUUGAUCAUCUUGUGUCACAAAGAGUCCAAUUCACGUGAAAAGCGUUAAAGCUAUUUAGCUAGUUUUGAUCUCAGAUUCCCCUGAACUCUUAGAUGGACAAUAGACCUCCCAUCUCACUAAAUGAUCCCUAUUCUCCUCCCCACUCCAAACCAUAAAAAUUUCCACAUGCGGCCCUCUAAUCUCUUUGAUUACCCCAUAAAGGAUUCUAAACAGGGACAGAUAGUAGAGAGGAACACUAAAUAGGUAAAGCUCGGACCAAAGUAACUCUCCUACCUAAUGAAAAUAAUUCUCCUCUCCAACUUUCCAAACACCUAGCUACUUUACUCUCCACCCUCUCCCAAAAAGCACCCCCUUGAGUUUCCUGCCAAAGGAACACCAAAGUAAACUAUGAGCCAAGCUAACUAGGAACACCCUAAAAGGACCCUGCCAAAAGGUCAAUAACUAAGCGACUAAUUAUCAUGUUGCAUACAAGAUCAUCUCGUCGACAAGUUGUAGAUGGAAAACCUCCACCAUAUCUUUUCUAGCUUUUAUGCCCUCCACAAUGUCCCUUUCUGCCACCUUAGACAACAUCCUACACAUCACAUCAACUACCAAGGUGAACAAGAAGGUUGAGACGGAGUUUUCUUGCCUUAAUCCUCUCGGAGCUUUAAAUCAAUCCUGAGUUUUCCAUUUACAAUAACGAUAAAUGAAGUAGACAUCAAGCAUCCCAGAAUCCAUCCUCCUAAUCUGACUCCAAACCCCUUUUGCUCCAUGACUCUGUCAAGGCCUCCAAUUCACCCCGUCAUACAUUUUCUCGAAGCCAAAUUUAAGGAUCAGCCCCUUCACUUUUGUUUUCCUGGUGAAUUCCACCACCUAAUUUGCAACUAGUGAUUUGUCUACCUCCCACGAAGGCGCUCUCCUUUAAUGAAAUGGUGUCAUUCAAAAUCUCAUUAACUUUAAGGAAAGAACUUUUGUGAUUAUUUUGUAAACACUUGUCACUGAACUGAUGGAAGAUAGUUGAAUACCUUGGUAGACUUAUCUUUUUUUGGGCCUAAAGAAAUGAAGGUGAAGUGCAUGCUUUUGCAUAUGGUGCCAUUGAGGUAGAACUCCUCAAACACUUUAAAAGAUAUGUUUUAAUAAAGAACUCUUUUAUGAAAUUAUCCGUUCUGGAGG
rnacentral:lncRNA from 1 species